rnacentral:rRNA from 1 species
GACGAACGCUGGCGGCGUGCUUAACACAUGCAAGUCGAGCGGUAAGGCCCUUUCGGGGGUACACGAGCGGCGAACGGGUGAGUAACACGUGGGUGACCUGCCCUCAGCUCUGGGAUAAGCCUGGGAAACCGGGUCUAAUACUGGAUAUGACUCCAUGACGCAUGUUGUGGGGUGGAAAGCCUUGUGCGGCUGAGGAUGGGCCCNCGGCCUAUCAGCUUGUUGGUGGGGUGAGGGCCUACCAAGGCGACGACGGGUAGCCGGCCUGAGAGGCGACCGGCCACACUGGGACUGAGACACGGCCCGGGACUCCUACGGGAGGCGAGCAGUGGGGAAUCUUGCGCAAUGGGCAAAGCCUGACGCAGCGACGCCGCGUGAGGGAUGACGGCCUGGUU